ACAACAGCAGCUGACAGUGACAGUGAAGUAAAGCUGGCGGGGCUUCGGUGAGGGCAGACAGGCUCCGUUACCGGGCUGUUUGUUGGCAGGGGCCAGGGAGUUACAGCUGGUUGGCUGGAUGGGUUUCUGCUGGGUGCUGUGAGGACACUUUGUGAGGACAUUUCGGGGACCUGCUGCUUUGCUCUGACAGCCGGUCUGCUGCUGGUCCGGCUGCAGAGACCACGAUGUGACGCUCCUCUGCUGACCAACAAUCAGCAGCAGAAUGUCUGUCAGCUGCCUGCUGAGAAACACCUUCAGGCUGGAGAGGAAACACGUGGCCACACAUUUGGUCCAGCGGAGAGCGCUGUCCGGGGCCGACGCCGUCAACGCACUCAGACCCUUCUACUUUGCAGUCCAUCCUGACUUCUUCGGUCAAUACCCCAGGGAACGGGAAGUGAAUGAGAAUUCGUUAAAGAGGCUGAAUGGCUAUCUGGACAACCUGCAGAAGCCCGGCUCGCGCUCGGUGCAGCCAAUGAAGCUCACCUUUUACGUCAGGGACACAAAGGACGGCAGUGAUGUGCAGCCAGAGCUCCUCGCUUCGGGGUUCCGGCCAGUGAGUUUCACUCUGCACACAAACGAUGUCCUGAGCACGGUGAAGAACGUCCUGAAGUCGUGCAGCCUGCCCACGGAGCACAUGGAGGGACUGGCAGCAAGUGCAGAACCAUCUAAAAGUCCAGCGGAGGCAGGGCUGCCCUUCUACAGACCUAUCAGAUGGGAUAAGAGCUACUACACCUUCACUGGGUUCCGAGACCCUGAGCAGGAGCUGCAGCAGGCCCGGAGAAUGGAGCCCACUCUAAUCUCAUGGCUGAGAAACAAUGAGCCCGAAGCCACCAAGAAGUACAGUGCUAGUCUUCCUCGGAGAAAAGAGCUGAACAGACUGAAGAAGGAACUGUGUCACAACUUCGAUCUGGCUGAUAUCAGGUGGCAGAGCAGCUGGGGAGUGGCCCACCGCUGCUCUCAGCUUCAGAGUCUGAGCCGGCUGUCCCAGCAGAACCCCGAGGCCCUGAUCAACCUGCAAGGACACACCGUGGUGUUUGCUGACCAGUCGGGGAUGAACGCCUCAGGACACAUCAUGCUGGGAACCAUGGACGUUCAUCAUCAGUGGACCAAACUGUUUGAGCAGCUGCCCGGGUACCGCAGCCUGCAGCAGCAGACGGACUGGCUAAAGGAGAGGAUCAGCCUCCUGCUGGGUGGGACUCAGGUGGUCCACGUAGAGAGGCUGGGCCCGGUCCAGCCCAUCGCAGAGCACUACAACACCCUCAGCACCUUCCACAAGACCCUGAUGUCCCGCCGGCUCCGCCUGCACCCCCGCAGCCUGCAGGGGCUCACCAUGCUGUUGGAGAAUGACCGCUCUAACCCCAGUCUACACGAGAUGGGCCACUUCAUCAUCCCCACCAACUGUGACCCCCCCAAGCUGCAGGUCUUCCUCCAGAGCCAGGCGCACGAGGCCAGACAGCGCACGCAACACAAAAACCAGCUGCAGGCGGAGGAGGAGGCUGUGGUGAAGCUGUGUCUCCACAGUCUGUCUCUGAGGAGUCUGUCCAAGGAGCCCAGCGUCAGCUCCAGCCAGAUGAUCCGCUGCUGUAAACGGCUGGUGGAGCAGCGCUCCCCCCUCAUGCAGGGCCUCCACUUCUGUGUCUCUCACUUCUACUCGGUCAUGCAGGACGGGGACCUGUGUGUCCCCUGGGACUGGAAGGGCUGAGCUGCAGGGACACGCUCAGUCCAGGUGUUGGAGACACACAUUUGUAGCAGUUAAAUGUUGUUCAGGCAGGAAAUAGACAGGUUUAAUAAGUCGGUUCAUUUCCAAGGGAAACCUUUAUUUAGUUGUUAAUUCAAGCUGUGGGCUUGUCCAAUAAGAUGCACUUUAUCCUCUUUCUAGAAAUAUGCAAAACGAUUGACAAGAAAGGAAGAAGAAGAAACACAUUUCUGCUGCAUAAUAUUCAAAUGUUUUCUCCCAAAAUACUGGAGACUUUGACCUCUUCAAGAAUCAGAACUGAAAGUUUGAGAACCAAACAGUGUUUGGUUGAACUGGGAUGAGGGAUGUGGGACCAGCCCAAAAGGUUGGGAACUAACUGACAGAGGUGCAAUACGACUUAAGCUUUAAGACAAGGGUUGAGGCCUUGACAUAGACACAAUUUGACAUAGUGUUGUUGUUGUGUGAGAAAGCAUGGAAUAAUAAAUGUGGUAAAGACACAAUGUGCUCUAAACGUAGUAAAUACAGAGGAGGGUUAUUACUCUGAUUGACAGACUGACACUAGACAGCCGGGACGAGUCAGAACAAUGAACCAUUUGGUACAAAGUGGAGUCUGACCACGUUGAGUCCCCCUGUUCUUUAGUUCUUUUAUGGUGUUCACAUGAAAAGUGACAGAAGUAGUUGUGUGAAGAACUUUGACAGCUCCACACACCUGACCAAUCACUGCGUGAAGCGGAUGUGAGGAUCAGACACAGCUAGGAAAGAUGGUGUGGAGAAAUGAUCCAACAGCCCUUUGUUUGAAGCACUGAUGCCCUUUAGUGAUCCAUGUUGCUACUGCUGUUGCAGCAUCAGAGGCCGAUUGUUCAUGUUGAAGUCAAACUGUAAUUAUAUACAUGGAUCACGUCGCCAGACAAUCCAGGAACACUGAGAUUUUAUAAAG